AAUGACCCCUGCCUUCUCUGUCUUCUUCACCAUCACGUGAAUACACUGGAAAAAAAAUCAGAAACGUCAAUAGCAGCUUGCAAAUGUCAACGAUAGCUGCCCUCACCAAACCAUUCCAGCAGCUCCCACACCCUAUCUCUGCAACAACCGCCCAUUUUGAUCUUUUCCCAACCGGAUUUCGUGGGAUUUGGUUGAAAUAUUGCACAAACCAGCCUUUUUUCUUGGUCCUUGAGAAGUUUUGAAUUUAGGAAUGGAAAGGGGAAUUACGAUUUUGCCAUAUUCCUAUCCGUUCUUCAUCCAAAUCCGAACCCGAAUUUUUCCCUAUAAAUACAUCUUUUCUUGUUAUUUUUUGGGGAGCUUAGUGCUAAAACAAUAGUCGUCUUACACAAAAAGAAAAUUCAAACGAUUCCCUAGAUCCUAGGUUUCGAGAAAACUUUUGUUCGUAGCUGGUUCUAAAUUUAUUGGUUUGCUGUUAGUAUCAAAAUUUCGCGGUGGAAGAGUCUCUGUUCGCAGCUCGUCUUGUCUCAGUUCACUGCCCGAAAAGAGGUAAAUUCUUUCUUAGCCUUAGUUAACUCGUGGUUUUUCUAUGUGUUCUGUUUAUGUGUUAUUAAGUUUUUGUUAUGUUAAGUCUCUAUAGGUUAGAAUAUGGUUGACGAGUAUUAUCUAGCAAUUUUCCUUUAUUUCUUAUGUUAGUAUUUUACUGUUAUAGUCAUAAAUCAGCUUAGCUUAUUUGAUUAUAGUCUUGUUACUCAUCUGAAUCAUCCAUAAAUGUUCAUCUCGAGUUUAGUCAUCAUAUUUGUUCAAUAAUAGGCGUCGAAAUUCAUGUUAAUGCUUCUGAGAAAAUGUAAAUGUAUUAAUUCACGUUCUCUGUUAAGAGCUACUGCUCUCAGAGCCUUUUCUUUUUCAGUGUUUUUCUUUAUCGAUGGUUCUUUGCUCUCGCUUCUUCGUAG
rnacentral:lncRNA from 1 species